UACGGAGGAUCCGAGCGUUAUCCGGAUUUAUUGGGUUUAAAGGGUGCGUAGGCGGAAUGAUCAGUCAGUUGUGAAAGUUUGAGGCUCAACCUUAAAAUUGCAGUUGAUACUGUCAUUCUUGAGUGUACAAGAGGUGGGCGGAAUUCGUGGUGUAGCGGUGAAAUGCUUAGAUAUCACGAAGAACUCCGAUUGCGAAGGCAGCUCACUGGGGUACAACUGACGCUGAGGCACGAAAGUGUGGGUAUCAAACAGG
rnacentral:rRNA from 1 species